CCUACGGGUGGCAGCAGUGAGGAAUAUUGGUCAAUGGACGAGAGUCUGAACCAGCCAAGUAGCGUGAAGGAUGACGGCCCUAUGGGUUGUAAACUUCUUUUAUAAGGGAGUAAAAGGAGGUACGUGUGCCUGUUUGCAUGUAUUUUAUGAAUAAGGAUCGGCUAACUCCGUGCCAGCAGCCGCGGUAAUACGGAGGAUCCGAGCGUUAUCCGGAUUUAUUGGGUUGAAAGGGUGCGUAGACGGGUGGAUAAGUCAGUUGUGAAAGCUUGAGGCUCAACCGUAAAAUUGCAAUUGAUACUGGUAGUCUUGAGUACAGUUGAGGGAGGCGGAAUUCGUGGUGUAGCGGUGAAAUGCUUAGAUAUCACGAAGAACACCGAUUGCGAAGGCAGCUUACUAAACUGUGACUGACAUUGAUGCUCGAAAGUGUGGGUAGCAAACAGGAUUAGAUACCCUAGUAGUC
rnacentral:rRNA from 1 species